rnacentral:misc_RNA from 1 species
AAAGCACUGAGGGAGCCGAAGCUCCCUCUUAAAUGGUUACGUGCUUUAUUGUUAUUAUUAUUUCGGGCUUGUUGUUUUUGUUCAAUUGCCCGUUCCUUUUGGCCUGAGGCCUUAGGAAAAUCUCCCAAGUCGGGAGUUAGUAGCAAACGGAUUUCUUUGGAUGCUGACAUUGCAAUGAUCGUUCCGUGAUCCAACCAGUUCAGGUGCUGCUUAUAAGCAGUU